rnacentral:rRNA from 1 species
GCAUAUAAUUAGGCGGAGGAAAAGAAAUUAACUAAGAUUUCCCUAGUAACGGCGAGUGAAAAGGAAUUAGUUCAGCGCUGAAUCCCUUAGCCCAAGGUUAAGGGACCUGUAGCGUGAAAGAGAGCCUAUUCGAACUGGUUUACGCUUCGGAAGCUCCCUCGAACGGGACCCCAAAGCAGGUGCGAGGCCUGUAACGAGGUUACACCAGUCGAUUUGAGCCUCUUUAGAGUCGGGUUGCUUGAGAGUGCAGCCCUAAGCGGGAGGUAAACCCCUCCUAAGACUAAAUACGACCACGAGACCGAUAGCGAACAAGUACCGCGAGGGAAAGUUGAAAAGAWCUUUGAAGAGAGAGUUCAAAAGGGCGUGAAACCGCUUAGAAUAAAACGGACGGAGCCGUCAGGAGCUCCCGAGACUCAGUCGUCUAAUAGGCGAAAAUACGUCGCGUUCUCCAGAGCGUAAAGUCUGAGACGUAGUAUUAGUAGUCGAUAGUCGGCGCAUUUCUCGGGGGUAAGCGACGUAACCGAUACGAAAGGCUAGCGAAGCGACGAGGUUGAGGUCUAGUCUCUUAACGGAAACUAGUUGCCAGCCGAAUUCGCCUGAAUCGUUAGACCGCAGUAUGUAUCGAGCGCCUACGAAAUAGAGGACGUUCGCCGCGAUGGUUCGUUCGAACGACGGAAAGUCGAUUAAUUAGUCGGUUUACCUGCUCGUCAGGCGCCGUUCUAAUCUAGUCGGUCUUAGAAGUCGUCGACGACGCGACGUCCGGGCGUUAACGUCGUCAGAGUCGGUCACCCGUCCGACCCGUCUUGAAACACGGACCAAGGAGUCUAACAUACGCGCGAGGCAAUAGGCGGAAAACCUAGAGCCGCAAUAAAAGUGAAGACUUAGUUAACUAAGUUCGAGGUACGAUCCUAGAAUCUAACGAUAUCUCGGCGCAGUACCGUCUCGUCCCUAAGACACGUUCUAAGGGCGAAGAUAGAGUGCGUACGUUGGGACCCGAAAGAUGGUGAACUAUGCCUGAGCAGAGCGAAGCCAGAGGAAACUCUGGUGGAGGUUCGUAGCGGUUCUGACGUGCAAAUCGAUCGUCAGACUUGGGUAUAGGGGCGAAAGACUAAUCGAACCAUC